GACGAACGCUGGCGGCGUGCUUAACACAUGCAAGUCGAACGGUGAAGCGCCUUCCUUUUUGGUGGGUGUGGAUGAGUGGCGAACGGGUGAGUAACACGUGAGUAACCUGCCCCCUUCUUCUGGAUAACCGCAUGAAAGUGUGGCUAAUACGGGAUAUUCUGGGUCUGUCGCAUGAUGGGUCUGGGAAAGAUAUUGUUUCGGUGGGGGAUGGGCUCGCGGCCUAUCAGCUUGUUGGUGGGGUGAUGGCCUACCAAGGCGGUGACGGGUAGCCGGCCUGAGAGGGUGGACGGUCCCACUGGGACGGAGACACGGCCCAGACUCCUACGGGAGGCAGCAGUGGGGAAUAUUGCACAAUGGGCGCAAGCCUGAUGCAGCGACGCCGCGUGAGGGAUGGAGGCCUUCGGGUUGUGAACCUCUUUCGCCAGUGAAGCAGGCCUGCCUCGUUUGUGGGUGGGUUGACGGUAGCUGGAGAAGAAGCGCCGGCUAACUACGUG
rnacentral:rRNA from 1 species